UGUCGCCUGGAACAAGAAAGCAAGAACCAAACCCUCAACAUCAUAGAAUCAUCAAAUUGAAAGGGAAUCCAUGGCCUAAAUCACUGCAUGUGCACAUAGAAACGUUCAACUAAGUUAGUCUAUCGAAUGGAGUGAAAGAGGAAGACGCAAGCCAUUCCGGAUCGCAAGCAAAACACGACAAAGGUAAAGCAACUUGAUCAAUGGCAGUACUUGGACCGAACACACUAUUGAUGCACGCUUCCGCGAAGAUCCUAGUCAUGGUCUAAACUUUUGGUUAAAUGUUUUUGUUUAAAUGGGUCUUUUGAACGUUAAUUAACCCGGUAGUGGUUAGACGUUAAAUGUGUAGUUAAAGACUUGGUUGGUCUUCAUGAAAUAUUUGGGCUAUAAACUCUUUGUAACUAUUUUCUUAGUUAAUAUGAAGUUAAAUGCAGAAUUUUA